GAAUGUGAGGGUGAUCUGGCUGCGAUGUCUGUCACCCCAUUGAUGGCCAGGGUUGGUUUGGGCUGAUCUUGCUAGCUAGGCAGGUGUCCCCUUCCUCACCACUCCAUGUGCGUCCCUCCCGAAACUGCACAUUCUGUGGAAGAGGACAACCUUCCCCGAAUAGAGGGGAACCUGUCUUCUGUCAAGGGUGUGUGAGUAGCUGCACUCCCCUGCUAGAAGCUCCAAACAAGCUCUCAAGAAGUCCCAGUGUGAACCCCGAGUCCCAAAUGACUUCUUGACUAGAAGAGACACUCCAGAUAGGAAUACUGACUGCUCU
rnacentral:snRNA from 1 species